GGAGUAUGUGCAGCUCCUGAAGACGUCUUUCGCCGAGUUUGAGUUAGUGCAUGUACCAAGAGAGCAGAACGCCCGAGCAGACCUGCUUGCCAAGCUGGCCAGCUCAGGCAAAGGGGGGAAGCAGAGGACUGUCAUUCAGGAGACCCUGAAGGUGCCACGCGCGUUUGUAUCAGACAACCAGGUACUUCAUGUAUACAAGUCAAUGGAGCGUCUAACGAUCGGUCAUCGGUCGUUGACUCAAGAGACGCUGAGAGCGCCGAGGGUGAGAUCGCGACCCUCAAAGAUCGGUGAGUCGAUGGAGGUCCACGCGGAG
rnacentral:lncRNA from 1 species